UGAGGAUUUCCUACAAGGAAGAUAAAGUUAAAAUGGAGUCUUAGGCAAUUUCACAAUUUAAAGUUCAUAUUGCAAUUGUUUGGAUCGGCAUGACUUAAAAAUUACUGUAAAAUUUCCAAUUUAUGUUUCCUGAAUGUGUGUUUUGUUCAGCUAUAAGUCAUUUAGUUCAACUUAAACAUGAUUCAAAAUUGAUUCAACAUUUAUCACGAUUGUUAGAUGACGGAAAUAAAGUAUUGAGAAAAUGAUUCAU